AACUACUUCUCAAAACCACCUCUAAUCCCAAAAUGGAAUAACAGUCGUGAGCAAACAAGUGUUAACAAGCCACCGCGCCAAGUGGACGAAUGCUAAAGGUAGUCGUACAAGGUUGACUUGGCGUAAAAAAUUCAAUGUCUGUGUCAGCCGGUCGCGCAUGCGCUUUAGCACGUGCUAUACGAAAAGAAAACUGUCAGUUUUUUUUAACGUUUCGAUUUUUUUUCAACACAUUUAAACCGUUAGCUUAACCGGCCGUUGUCCCGAUCGGACCCAUAUGUCAUCUCGUCUGGCAUGCGUUAACCAAGCGGAAACUGUAAAACGGUAGCAAUCGGAUGAAAUACGCUCGACUGCCCACACAUCGAUGAGUUACCUGUGGUUAUAUGUACCAUAGAUGCCCUGACCAAAAUAUAUAUAUAUGUAUGUAUGUAUGUAUUAACAAAGGCACGCAUCCAGAGCAAAUUUGAUACAUUCAAAAAAAGUUGCAAAACUUUUUUACUGUUGGCACGACAUGAGGUCUAAAAUCAGUUAAACAAAAGCGAUUGCACUUAUGGGGGGCGCUUGAACUGUUCGUGUAUUAAAUUUCUUCGCCAGCCAGUGAUUUAAGCCCGAAAAAAGUUGAUUUUUUGAAUUUUCCAGUUGACAUGGCACAAUUUUCUUUCGAAUACACUUAAUCACAUGUGGUUUUUUGCUACUUAAGGCGCAUGCGCUUAUAUACGUACAAACAGAUUCUUGUAAUCAAAACUUAAUGGCGAUAAAGGACAAGUUGGCAUGGACCACAUGGUAAUAUGACGCCAUGGCGCUGGUGUGGCGACCUCAAUCACUUAACGAACAGCAAUUCCUAACAUCGGCCAGUCGCAACUGCUUCGUACUUUUAUUUUAUUUUCCAAAAUUAAUAUGAGUUUAAAUAUUUAGUUUUCAACAACACGAAUUUUAACGGUAAUGUCCAAUUUGCGUUGGCAUUUGAAGCUUUUGCAGUAUUUUAGAUUUUGUCGCGGUCGAAACUCGAACUCGCAGUUACGCACAUGACAGUAACGAUGAAAGCCUAAAUAUGACAACCAUUAUCAUUUACUAUUUAUAACAAAAAUGAAAAGAAAAGAUGUUAAAGAUCU